rnacentral:tRNA from 1 species
GGGGCUGUAGCUCAAUCUGGGACGCAAGAAAGUAAACUUACUGAGUUUACUGCUAGCGCAGGAAAGAGCACUAGACUGAAGAUCUAGGUGUUCGGGGUUCAAAUCCCCGCAGCCCCA